GACGAACGCUGGCGGCGUGCUUAACACAUGCAAGUCGAACGGAAAGGCCCUGCUUUUGUGGGGUGCUCGAGUGGCGAACGGGUGAGUAACACGUGAGUAACCUGCCCUUGACUUUGGGAUAACUUCAGGAAACUGGGGCUAAUACCGGAUAGGAGCUCCUGCUGCAUGGUGGGGGUUGGAAAGUUUCGGCGGUUGGGGAUGUACUCGCGGCUUAUCAGCUUGUUGGUGGGGUAGUGGCUUACCAAGGCUUUGACGGGUAGCCGGCAUGAGAGGGUGACCGGCGACAUUGGGACAAAGAUACGGCCCAGAAACCAAGGGGAGGCAGCAGGGGGGAAUAUUGCAAAAUGGGCGGAAGCCUGAAGAAGCAACGCGGGGAGCGGGAUGAAGGGCUUCGGGUUGUAAACCGCUUUCGCCUGUGACGAAGCGUGAGUGACGGUAAUGGGUAAAGAAGCACCGGCUAACUACGUG
rnacentral:rRNA from 1 species